rnacentral:rRNA from 1 species
GGAUGCCUUGGCAGUUAGAGGCGAUGAAGGACGUGUAAGUCUGCGAAAAGCUGUGGUGAGCCGACAAAAUGCAUUUGAACCACAGAUGUCCGAAUGGGGAAACCCACCUAUUUAUAGGUAUCGUUACAUGAAUAUAUAGUGUAACGAGGCGAACGAGGGGAACUGAAACAUCUAAGUACCCUUAGGAAAAGAAAUCAACCGAGAUUCCCCUAGUAGCGGCGAGCGAACGGGGAUUAGCCCUUAAGCAAUUAUGAACGUAGUGGAAGCCUCUGGGAAGUGGCGCGAUACAAGGUGAUAGCCCUGUACACGAAGUGUUUGUUUUUGUGAAAUCGAGUAGGUCGGGACACGUGUUAUCUUGACUGAAUAUGGGGGGACCAUCCUCCAAGGCUAAAUACUCCUAACUGACCGAUAGUGAACCAGUACCGUGAGGGAAAGGCGAAAAGAACCCCUGUGAGGGGAGUGAAAUAGAUCCUGAAACCGUAUGCGUACAAGCAGUCGGAGCGGACUUGUUCCGUGACGGCGUACCUUUUGUAUAAUGGGUCAGCGACUUAUGUUCAGUGGCGAGGUUAACCGUUUAGGGGAGCCGUAGGGAAACCGAGUCUGAAUAGGGCGAUUUAGUCGCUGGGCAUAGACCCGAAACCGGGCGAUCUAUCCAUGAGCAGGUUGAAGGUUGAGUAACAUCAACUGGAGGACCGAACCCACUAACGUUGAAAAGUUAGGGGAUGACUUGUGGCUGGGGGUGAAAGGCCAAUCAAACCGGGAGAUAGCUGGUUCUCCCCGAAAUCUAUUUAGGUAGAGCCUCGGACGAAUUCCAUUGGGGGUAGAGCACUGUUAAGGCUAGGGGGUCAUCCCGACUUACCAACCCUUUGCAAACUCCGAAUACCAAUGAGAACUAUCCGGGAGACACACGGCGGGUGCUAACGUCCGUCGUGAAGAGGGAAACAACCCAGACCGCCAGCUAAGGUCCCAAAAUAUUGCUAAGUGGGAAACGAUGUGGGAAGGCUCAGACAGCUAGGAGGUUGGCUUAGAAGCAGCCACCCUUUAAAGAAAGCGUAAUAGCUCACUAGUCGAGUCGGCCUGCGCGGAAGAUGUAACGGGGCUAAGCAAUAUACCGAAGCUGCGGAUACGUGUUUACACGUAUGGUAGGGGAGCGUUGUGUAAGUGGAUGAAGGUGGAUUGAGAAGUCUGCUGGACAUAUCACAAGUGCGAAUGCUGACAUGAGUAACGAUAAUGGGAGUGAAAAACUCCCACGCCGGAAGACCAAGGUUUCCUGUCCCAUGCUAAUCAGGGCAGGGUAAGUCGGCCCCUAAGGCGAGGCAGAAAUGCGUAGUCGAUGGGAAACGGAUUAAUAUUUCCGUACCUUGGAUAGCUGCGAUGGAGAGACGGAGAAGGCUAGGUGAGCCGGGCGACGGUUGUCCCGGUUUAAGCAUGUAGGCAGUGGGAUUAGGCAAAUCCGGUCCCACAAUGCCGAGACGCGACGACGACUGCCCUUUUAGGGCGGGAAGUCAUUGAUGCCCUGCUUCCAGGAAAAUCUUCUAAGCUUCAGGCUAUUCGAGACCGUACCCCAAACCGACACAGGUGGUCAGGUAGAGAAUACCAAGGCGCUUGAGAGAACUCGGGUAAAGGAACUAGGCAAAAUGGUGCCGUAACUUCGGGAGAAGGCACGCCGGUGGUAUGUGACGCCCUUCGCGGGUUGAGCAGAAGCCGGUCGAAGAUACCAGGCCCCUGCGACUGUUUAUUAAAAACACAGCACUCUGCUAACUCGCAAGAGGACGUAUAGGGUGUGACACCUGCCCGGUGCCGGAAGGUUAAUUGAUGGGGUUAUCUUCGGAGAAGCUCUUGAUCGAAGCCCCGGUAAACGGCGGCCGUAACAAUAACGGUCCUAAGGUAGCGAAA